ACGGGUGAGUAACACGUAUCCAACCUGCCGUCUACUCUUGGCCAGCCUUCUGAAAGGAAGAUUAAUCCAGGAUGGCAUCAUGAGUUCACAUGUCCGCAUGAUUAAAGGUAUUUUCCGGUAGACGAUGGGGAUGCGUUCCAUUAGAUAGUAGGCGGGGUAACGGCCCACCUAGUCAACGAUGGAUAGGGGUUCUGAGAGGAAGGUCCCCCACAUUGGAACUGAGGCACGGUCCAA
rnacentral:rRNA from 1 species